AAGCAAGAUAUAAAGGGCGCACGGGGGAUGCCUUGGUAGCAAAGGCCGAAGAAGGACGUGGCAGGCUGCGAAAAGCCCGGGGUAGGUGCCUAACAACCGAAGAUCCCGGGAUAUCCGAAUGGGGAAACCCGCAUGGAAGGAAAUCCAUGCAUCGCUUAGUGAAGAUAGUAGCUAAGCGAGGGGCACGAGGCGAAGUGAAACAUCUCAGUAGCCUCAGGAAGAGAAAUCAAGAGAGAUUCCCUAAGUAGCGGCGAGCGAACGGGGAAGAGCCCAAACCUAAGCUGUGUGAUAGCGGCCAGGCGUUGCAGUUUAGGGGUAGCGGGGCACAUACGGAGCCGGCUGGCAACAGGCUCAGCUAGUUACAAAACUUGUACAUAGCCGAACUGCAUGGGAAGGCAGACCGAAGAAGGUGAAAGUCCUGUAGGCGAAAUGUACAAGACUAGCUGGUAUGUGACCCCAAGUACACCGGGACACGAGGAAUCCUGGUGGAAUCAGGGGGGACCACCCUCCAAGGCUAAACACCUUUGCUAACCGAUAGCGCAUAGUACCGUGAGGGAACGGUGAAAAGAACCCCGGUGAGGGGAGUGAAAUAGAACCUGAAACCGUGCGUCCACAAGGAACGGGAGGCGACCCAUGGGUUGCCGACCGUGUGCCUAUUGAAGAAUGAGCCAGGGAGUUCAUUCCAGUAGCGAGGUUAAGGUGCUGAGGCACUGAAGCCGAAGGGAAACCGAGUCUGAAUAGGGCGACAAGCUGCUGGAUUGAGACACGAAGCCGGGUGAUCUACCCAUGUCCAGGGUGAAGGGCAGGUAAGACUGUCUGGAGGCCCGAACCCGUCAGGGGUAAAAACCUGUGGGAUGAGGUGUGGGUAGGGGAGAAAUUCCAAUCGAACCCGGGGAUAGCUGGUUCUCUCCGAAAUGCAUUGAGGUGCAGCCUUUGGGUAGUAGACCGUGGAGGUAGAGCACUGGUAGGGCUAGGGGGUCGUGAGGCCUACUGAACCCUGUCAAACUCCGAAUGCCAUGGUAGCUAGCCCAAGGAGUGAGUCUACGGGGGACAAGCUUCGUAGGCGAGAGGGGAACAUCCCAGACUAUCGGCUAAGGUCCCGAAGCUACGCUAAGUGUUCCAACCUAAAGGAAGUACGUCUGCAAAGACAGCCAGGAUGUUGGCUCAGAAGCAGCCAUCAUCUAAGGAGUGCGUAACAGCUCGCUGGUCGAGCGGAUGUGCGCCGAAGAUGUAACGGGGCUAAGCGUAGCACCGAAGCCAUAGACUUACUUUAGCCAAGGCUGAAGUAAGUGGUAGGAGAGCGUUCUGUGAGGGGCGAAGGUUACAUGUGAAUGUAGCUGGACUUCACAGAAGUGAGAAUCCUGGCAUGAGUAACGAUAAGACAGGUGAGAAUCCUGUCCGCCGGAAGUCCAAGGGUUCCUGGGGAAGGUUCGUCCGCCCAGGGUAAGCCGGAGCCUAAGGUGAGGCCGAAAGGCGUAGCCGAUGGAGAAACAGGUUAAUAGUCCGUGCCACUGAUUAUGUCGAUUGACCUGAAGGGGAGACGCAGGAAGGUAGCUACGCGUGCUAGUGGAAUAGCACGUUCUUAGCAGCGAGGCCUGGGUGUAGGGAAAACCGCACCCGAUGCAGGUUAGCGGCUAGGAGGAGUGUCCGUAAGGAUGCGAAGGUAGUGAUCCUACACUGCCGAGAAAAACCUCGUCAGGGAGACAUAGUUAGUGUCCGUACCCGAAACCGACACAGGUGGACUGGUAGACAAACUACCGAGGCGCGCGAGAGAACCCUCGCUAAGGAACUCGGCAAACUGACCCCGUAACCUCGGGAGAAGGGGUGCCUGCGAUAGGUGAAUCAAGAGAUUGAUGAGCCGAGGCAGGCCGCAGAGGAUAGGUCCUGGCGACUGUUUACCAAAAACACAGGUCUCUGCGAAGGCGGAAGCCGAAGUAUAGGGGCUGAGGCCUGGCCAGUGCUGGAAGGUUAAGGUGAGGGGUUAGCCCAGGAAUGGGCGAAGCUCCGAGCUGAAGCCCCAGUAAACGCCGGCCGUAACUAUAACGGUCCUAAGGUAGCGAAAUUCCUUGUCGGGUAAGUUCCGACCCGCAUGAAAGGUGUGACGACUGGGACGCUGUCUCAGCGAGGGACUCGGUGAAAUUACAAUGGGGGUGAAGAUGCCCUCUACCCGCGGCAGGACGGAAAGACCCCAUGGAGCUUUACUGUAGCCUGAUAUUGGGUUUUGGCAUGUGCUGCGCAGGAUAGGUGGGAGGCUGAGAAGGUACCCUUUCGGGGGUACUGGAGCCGACGGUGAGAUACCACCCUGCACGUGUUGGAACUCUAACAUGGAGCCGUGAAGCCGGCACAUGGACAGUGUCAGGUAGGCAGUUUGACUGGGGCGGUCACCUCCCAAAAGGUAACGGAGGCGUCCAAAGGUACCCUCAGGCGGAAUGGAAACCCGCUGAAGAGUGCAAAGGCAUAAGGGUGCUUGACUGCGAGAGGGACACCUCGAGCAGAGUGGAAACACGGGCUUAGUGACCCGGUGGUGCUGAGUGGAAAGGCCACCGAUCAACGGAUAAAAGUUACCCUGGGGAUAACAGGCUAAUGGGUCCCGAGAGUCCAUAUCGACGGAUCCGUUUGGCACCUCGAUGUCGACCCGUCUCAUCCUGGGGCUGAAGCAGGUCCCAAGGGUUGGGCUGUUCGCCCAUUAAAGAGGCACGCGAGUUGGGUUCAGAGCGUCGUGAGACAGCUCGGUCCUUAUCCGCCGCGGGCGCAGGAGUUCUGAGGGGAGCUCUUCCUAGUACGAGAGGACCGGAAGGGACCAGGCACUGGUGUACCAGUUGUACCGCCAGGUGCAGAGCUGGGUAGCCACCCUGGGAGGAAUAAGCGCUGAAAGCAUCUAAGCGCGAAGUCCAUCCCAAGAUAAGAACUCCCACAGAGAUGAUCUGGUAAGGGCCCGGGAAGACUACCCGGUAGAUAGGCUGGAAGUGGAAGCCCAGUAAUGGGUGUAGCUGACCAGUACUAAUAGCCCGAGGUCUUGCUUCA
rfam:Coprothermobacter proteolyticus DSM 5265, complete genome.